rnacentral:misc_RNA from 1 species
CCCAUUUGCAGAAAUUCAUCUGUCAAUAAAAAAAAAGGGGGUCAAUAUAUAUAUAUAUAUACACAUACACACACACACACACAUAUAUAUGAGUAAUUUUAAGAGGUCAAUUGACCUCCCAUUUGUGGUAGUACAUCCGCCCCUGUAUGCAAUCCACGCAAAGCUGGUACCUGUAUUUCCAACCUCAAUCUCAACAAAAUUCGUGAACUUGGGAUCUC